GAUGAACGCUAGCGGCAGGCCUAACACAUGCAAGUCGAGGGGUAGCAGGAUUAAGCUUGCUUAAUUGCUGACGACCGGCGCACGGGUGCGUAACGCGUAUGCAACCUACCUUAUACUGGGGUAUAGCCCGGAGAAAUUCGGAUUAAUACCCCAUAGUACUAAUGAAUCGCAUGGUUUAUUAGUUAAAGCAUUGCGGUAUAAGAUGGGCAUGCGUCCUAUUAGCUAGAUGGUGAGGUAACGGCUCACCAUGGCUACGAUAGGUAGGGGGCCUGAGAGGGUGGUCCACCACACUGGUACUGAGACACGGACCAGACUCCUACGGGAGGCAGCAGUGAGGAAUAUUGGUCAAUGGGCGCAAGCCUGAACCAGCCAUGCCGCGUGCAGGAAGAAUGCCCUAUGGGUUGUAAACUGCUUUUAUUUGGGAAUAAACCUCUUUACGUGUAGAGAGCUGAAGGUACCAAAUGAAUAAGCACCGGCUAACUCCGUGCCAGCAGCCGCGGUAA
rnacentral:rRNA from 1 species